rnacentral:rRNA from 1 species
UAGUCCACGCCGUAAACGAUGAGUACUCGUUAUUGGAGGUCGACCCCUCCAGUGACUAAGCUAACGCGUUAAGUACUCCGCCUGGGGAUUACGGUCGCAAGACUAAAACUCAAAGGAAUUGACGGGGGCCCGCACAAGCGGUGGAUCAUGUGGUUUAAUUCGAAGCAACGCGCAAAACCUUACCUGGGCUUGAAAUCCUGGAAAUCCUCUAGAGAUAGAGGAGUGCCCUUCGGGGAAUCCAGUGACAGGCGCUGCAUGGCUGUCGUCAGCUCGUGUUGUGAAAUGUUGGGUUAAGUCUCGCAACGAGCGCAACCCCUGUCCUCUGUUGCCAGCAUUAAGUUGGGCACUCUGAGGAGACUGCCUGGGUCAACCAGGAGGAAGGUGGGGAUGACGUCAAGUCCUCAUGGCCCUUAUGUCCAGGGCUACACACGUGAUACAAUGGCAAGUACAAUGGGAUGCGAACCUGCGAGGGGGAGCGAAAUCUCUAAAAGCUUGUCUCAGUCCGGAGUUG